rnacentral:lncRNA from 1 species
UGGCGUAGCAUGUUGAUUUCAUCAUCUGAACGUUCAGUAUCUGGGAUGUCAUAAAACUGAGCAACACAGUCAAAAUACUCAAGACGCUUCCUUCUUAGGACUCCCUCCCUUCUAUCUGAAUUAGGUGGUGCAUAUCCCUGUUGUCAGUUCAUAUUUAAAUUUCAAACAGUAAUGAAACUAUAUUCAAUAAAGAUAACUGUCAGUAAAAUGAUGCCGGAAUUAGGUAAAUCCCAACAUUUGGAUGGUGACAGACCACUGUAUUUGUAACUGUUGCAAUAGAAAUUGCCAGUGUCACUACAAUAAUGAUGGAAUAUACCCCACUGAGGAAAUUUUAAGUCCAUAUUAACCGUAUCAUCCAGCAUCUUUUUUCUCGCUAAAACAUUGAGAGCAGAGAGUUACCAGGUUUCAGGAGGCUAUUAAGUUACUAUGCUACAGGGACUAUUCACCACCAAAGAAUGUGCAGAAGGAGAAAUUAAGCAAAAAUAUCAUUGGAAAAAUUAGACAGCAUGAUACAGAUUUGCACAAUGAACCAAUGCACGGAAAGCUAAUUCAUCUAGCACAUGUUAGUGCUAUAUUAUAGAUCCAAAAUUGAGGAAUAACUCAGAAUUCGAUUCUCCUUAAUGUUAGGUAGAAAACCAUCAACUGGUAUGUGCUAAAAAAGUGGGCUAUAAAUCUUUUUUAUUUUUUAAUAAAAAAAUGAAACUUGUAUUUAACAUUAAAGAUGAAGAUUCAGUAAGGUGAAGUGGACCAGCUGUCCAUUAAGUAAACAAAAAAGAAAAAUAAAGCCUUCAACAUUAAACAUUGACAGAACUUAGUCGCAACAUCCACAUCAACUUUCAGGACCUAUGAUUCACAACUAAUGGAUCAUUUCUGAAGAACAAGACAUAAUCCAGAUCAAUAACUCAACAUGUAAGUUCAAAAGCUUUUUUAGUGCAAAAUAGGAAAGAAAGCAGAACAAGUGAGAAAUAAUGUACAGAGUUUUCAAAACGUCUGAAAGUCUUAAUACGUAAACUACACACACAAUAAGGAAAUCGUGGUAUUUUUUAGUUUGGAGCAUAGAAUGCAUCCACAUAAAGGCAACCCCAAUCUUUUAACUAAACAGAAUGAGAUUGGAAACUUUCUUUACUAUUGAGGAUCAAGAAGAUACAGACAAAGUUAAUACAACUUGUGGAUCAAAAGGAGCUGACAGUAUUUUGAGCUUGAUUCGAUCAUAACAAAUGCAUAUUAAAAUUCAAACAAACAUAUCUUGUGACCAUAUCAUGGUCAUCACCCAUCAAUUUGAAUCAAGAUCAGGAUCUUUGACGGCAGAAGAACCCAAGCAUGUUACGGCCACUAGAUGGAUGAGACUAGUAUAUGUAUAUUUCAACGUGUAGUUGAGAAGUAAGACUUAACCAAAAGCAUGAAUUCGUUUACCAAAUUGAAGAUCUAAUUGACUGCUAAAAUAUUCACUAUCAACUGAAAAUCUUAUCCUUCUAUUUACUUUGAGCUAACGCACUCAUAAAAAUUUUGUGCUACUAGCACAGAGUGUCAUAAAAGCAUUGGUGUAACUAAGUGUAAAAGGAUAACAAAGCAUCUAACCAUGUAUACAGAAUGCGCUCCAAGGAUUUCUGAACUUGCACUUGCUGAAAGAAAGUAACAUCAGGCACAGUUCUUGGACAAUCGACAGCAAUCUAACAAAGACAAGAAAGAUCACUAUCAAGUAUUUGAUAGUGAUCAUUUGAAAAGAUCAAUAAAGAUCAAGAUGGAUAAUCAGUUUUGCUGAAAAUACCUGGCGAAGCAUGUUGAUUUCAUCAUCUGAACGUUCAGUAUCUGGGAUGUCAUAAAACUGAGCAACACAAUCAAAAUACUCAAGACGCUUCCUUCUUAGGACUCCCUCCCUUCUAUCUGAAUUAGGUGGUGCAUAUCCCUGUUGUCAGUUCAUAUUUAAAUUUCAAACAGUAAUGAAACUAUAUUCAAUAAAGAUAACUGUCAGUAAAAUGAUGCCGGAAUUAGGUAAAUCCCAGCAUUUGGAUGGUGACAGACCACUGUAUUUUUAACCGUUGCAAUAGACAACUUAAAAUCAGAAGAGAAACUGAAAUUUCAUGGAUUGUUUCAAAUAGAACGAAUAUUCAUAGCCAACUUUCAAAGCCCAAUCUUCACCAUAAGUCAAAGGCAAUAGCUGCUGAAAAUAAUUCUGUUACACUAAAAAGGGUGCAAGCAAGCUUUCUCAUCAUUCCAUUCCUCCCUCACACCAAAGUUAGCACAGAUCAACUGAUAACAAAGUUUGCAAGGAGCUAUACCGUAAGUGUCUGUUUGUCAUCGUAUAGAAAAACAUAAAUUACCACAAGGGCAAGAUUGCUUAUACCAUAUUAGCACCAUUUUGAAGAGGGUAAAGUUUUAGAAAGCUAAGAUUAGCAUUUGCCAUCUAAAAUAUGCAGAAAGUCUUGAACAGAUCAACAACAGAAAACCCAUCCCACAAUUUCUCAUAAGACAAGCUAGUCUCUAGCAUAAUUGACCAAUAAUAUUAUCCAACUCAAAUUUUUCAUCACAUUGUUACUUAAAACUGAUCCCAAGUCUUAGAGCAUCAAGCUCACCAAAAGAAGCCUCCAUACAGUAGGGCGCAUGUACGGUGGUACACCACUCCAAGCUAACUCGCGUAAUCUCUCUGCAUGACCGGGUAAAGAAAGGAAUUAUAUUAAAUGUGAUAAGCUAAUGGACAAAAAAUAGUAUUCCCAAUAUCAAUCAAAACCAAAUGAGUUGCAGGUAAAGUUUUUUCAGAUACAAUUUGUUUAAAUCAAAGUGCUAUACUGAAAAAAAGAAUAAAAGGAUGAUAUCAAAUUAAUUAGGAUGCCACUAUUUGCAAAAUGUAGAAAUGAAAACUUCAUAGCAGGACCAUAUAUCAUUUUUUCUCACUUUUUUGACAAAUAAAGCAAAUAAACUAAAAGGGACAAAUGUUAAGGAAUAAACAACAAGCAACAUAGGGAUCCCAAAAUAUCACCUUAAAUAGAACAAUUUACAUACCGAAACAGUUCCAAAUGCAUGAACAGAUUUAUGGUCUCCUUUAAAAUGAGUUAAAUAUAAAAAUAAAGCAAAAUGUAGAAAUUAAUUAGGAUGCCACUAUUUGCAAAAUGUAGAAAUGAAAACUUCAUAGCAGGACCAUAUAGCAUUUGUUCUUACUUUUUUGACAAAUAAAGCAAAUGAACUAAAAGGGACAAAUGUUAAGAAAUAAACAACAAGCAACAUAGGGAUCCCAAAAUAUCACCUUAAAUAGAACAAUUUACAUACACUAUAUUCAAUAAAGAUAACUGUCAGUAAAAUGAUGCCGGAAUUAGGUAAAUCCCAGCAUUUGGAUGGUGACAGACCACUGUAUUUU